CAGGUCUUGACAUCCUCUGACAAUCCUAGAGAUAGGACGUUCCCCUUCGGGGGACAGAGUGACAGGUGGUGCAUGGUUGUCGUCAGCUCGUGUCGUGAGAUGUUGGGUUAAGUCCCGCAACGAGCGCAACCCUUGUCCUUAGUUGCCAGCAUUUAGUUGGGCACUCUAAGGAGACUGCCGGUGACAAACCGGAGGAAGGUGGGGAUGACGUCAAAUCAUCAUGCCCCUUAUGACCUGGGCUACACACGUGCUACAAUGGAUGGUACAAAGGGCUGCGAGACCGCGAGGUUUAGCCAAUCCCAUAAAACCAUUCUCAGUUCGGAUUGUAGGCUGCAACUCGCCUACAUGAAGCCGGAAUCGUUAAUAAUCGUGGAUCAGCAUGCCACGGUGAAUACGUUCCC
rnacentral:rRNA from 1 species